rnacentral:rRNA from 1 species
UUGCAAAGGUACAUAAUAAUUAGUUUAUUGAUUGUAAAAUAGUAUGAAUGAAUGAAUGAAAUUUUUAUUGUCUUAGUUUUAUUUGAUUGAAUUUUAUUUUUUUAUUAAAAAGUUAAAAUUUUUUAGCAGGACGAGAAGACCCUAUAAAUCUUUAAAUGAUUUUUUUUUGAAUCUUAAUUGUUUUUAACUGGGGCGGUUGAUGAAAAUUUUAACUUCAUUUUUAAUUUAUUAAUUUUUUUGAAAAUUUAUAUUUUGUUGAUUUUUUUUAUUGAAAUUAUAAGUUUAAGUUACUUUAGGGAUAACAGCGUAAUUGUUUU